CGAAGCGCAAAACUUGCUGCAGCUAGGCAAAGCAUACAAUGGCAGAAUGGAUACCCAGACCGAAGCACUGAUCACAAGGCAUGAAACAACCCCCUUUGAUCGAUAUGACGUCACAGACUCCCCUCAGCGGAUGCGGCCUGCAUAAUACAUCCGCCGUUAACCUUGCUUAAUUUAAAUGUAUUUAACCACAUCAAGAGCUGAUGUAAUAAUACAUUGUCAAUUUAACUAGUCUGCAAUCCGUAAAGACUGAUUUGCAUACUGCAUACAGCACACACAAGACAAGAUGAAUCCAGACUAUAUCACAUCAGUGACCAUGAUUUAGUUGCAACAUUUACAACCAAAUGGAUACCAGGUUAUUAAGCAAAUUCCUUCAAGUUUAAUUGCAACACCCCCCAUCAUUUUCUUGAAAAAAUUUAAUAGCCUCCCCUUCUAGUCAUUUAUUUCUACAUAUGGCCCCCCUUAUUUUUUCCCUCCCCCCCUUCCAUAAAUAAUGACCGGUCCCUUAUUGUUAAAAUCGAGGAUGUCGUUAAAAUUAAACUGUUUAAACCUGUAAGAUCUUCGGGAACAUUUUAUAUUAUGUCGUGUUUUACUAAAUAAUGUCCUUGCCCUUGCACGGUUCCCGUUUGUAAAAAACUGCUGUAAAUCAUAUCCCCCUUUAAUUAAUUUGAUCUCAUCCGUGAGUCGGCCUCGAAGGCCUUUGAUCUUUUACUUGAUUUCGCAUUUCA